CAGUGGGAGCACAGGUUUACCUGUGUGACUGCGUACCUUUUGUAUAAUGGGUCAGCGACUUAUAUUCUGUAGCAAGGUUAACCGAAUAGGGGAGCCGGAGGGAAACCGAGUCUUAAUUGGGCGUUAAGUUGCAGGGUAUAGACCCGAAACCCGGUGAUCUAGCCAUGGGCAGGUUGAAGGUUGGGUAACACUAACUGGAGGACCGAACCGACUAAUGUUGAAAAAUUAGCGGAUGACCUGUGGCUGGGGGUGAAAGGCCAAUCAAACCGGGAGAUAGCUGGUUCUCCCCGAAAGCUAUUUAGGUAGCGCCUCGUGAAUUCAUCUCCGGGGGUAGAGCACUGUUUCGGCUAGGGGGCCAUCCCGGCUUACCAACCCGAUGCAAACUGCGAAUACCGGAGAAUGUUAUCACGGGAGACACACGGCGGGUGCUAACGUCCGUCGUGAAGAGGGAAACAACCCAGACCGCCAGCUAAGGUCCCAAAGUCAUGGUUAAGUGGGAAACGAUGUGGGAAGGCCCAGACAGCCAGGAUGUUGGCUUAGAAGCAGCCAUCAUUUAAAGAAAGCGUAAUAGCUCACUGGUCGAGUCGGCCUGCGCGGAAGAUGUAACGGGGCUAAACCAUGCACCGAAGCUGCGGCAGCGACACUGUGUGUUGUUGGGUAGGGGAGCGUUCUGUAAGCCUGCGAAGGUGGCCUGUGAGGGUUGCUGGAGGUAUCAGAAGUGCGAAUGCUGACAUAAGUAACGAUAAAGCGGGUGAAAAGCCCGCUCGCCGGAAGACCAAGGGUUCCUGUCCAACGUUAAUCGGGGCAGGGUGAGUCGACCCCUAAGGCGAGGCCGAAAGGCGUAGUCGAUGGGAAACGGGUUAAUAUUCCCGUACUUGGUGUUACUGCGAAGGGGGGACGGAGAAGGCUAUGUUGGCCGGGCGACGGUUGUCCCGGUUUAAGCGUGUAGGUGUGUGUUCCAGGUAAAUCCGGUUCACUUUAACACUGAGGCGUGACGACGAGGCACUACGGUGCUGAAGCAACAAAUGCCCUGCUUCCAGGAAAAGCCUCUAAGCAUCAGGUAACAUCAAAUCGUACCCCAAACCGACACAGGUGGUCAGGUAGAGAAUACCAAGGCGCUUGAGAGAACUCGGGUGAAGGAACUAGGCAAAAUGGUGCCGUAACUUCGGGAGAAGGCACGCUGACACGUAGGUGAAGUGAUUUACUCAUGGAGCUGAAGUCAGUCGAAGAUACCAGCUGGCUGCAACUGUUUAUUAAAAACACAGCACUGUGCAAACACGAAAGUGGACGUAUACGGUGUGACGCCUGCCCGGUGCCGGAAGGUUAAUUGAUGGGGUCAGCGCAAGCGAAGCUCCUGAUCGAAGCCCCGGUAAACGGCGGCCGUAACUAUAACGGUCCUAAGGUAGCGAAAUUCCUUGUCGGGUAAGUUCCGACCUGCACGAAUGGCGUAAUGAUGGCCAGGCUGUCUCCACCCGAGACUCAGUGAAAUUGAACUCGCUGUGAAGAUGCAGUGUACCCGCGGCAAGACGGAAAGACCCCGUGAACCUUUACUAUAGCUUGACACUGAACAUUGAGCCUUGAUGUGUAGGAUAGGUGGGAGGCUUUGAAGUGUGGACGCCAGUCUGCAUGGAGCCGACCUUGAAAUACCACCCUUUAAUGUUUGAUGUUCUAACGUGGACCCGUUACCCGGGUUGCGGACAGUGUCUGGUGGGUAGUUUGACUGGGGCGGUCUCCUCCUAAAGAGUAACGGAGGAGCACGAAGGUUGGCUAAUCCUGGUCGGACAUCAGGAGGUUAGUGCAAUGGCAUAAGCCAGCUUGACUGCGAGCGUGACGGCGCGAGCAGGUGCGAAAGCAGGUCAUAGUGAUCCGGUGGUUCUGAAUGGAAGGGCCAUCGCUCAACGGAUAAAAGGUACUCCGGGGAUAACAGGCUGAUACCGCCCAAGAGUUCAUAUCGACGGCGGUGUUUGGCACCUCGAUGUCGGCUCAUCACAUCCUGGGGCUGAAGUAGGUCCCAAGGGUAUGGCUGUUCGCCAUUUAAAGUGGUACGCGAGCUGGGUUUAGAACGUCGUGAGACAGUUCGGUCCCUAUCUGCCGUGGGCGCUGGAGAACUGAGGGGGGCUGCUCCUAGUACGAGAGGACCGGAGUGGACGCAUCACUGGUGUUCGGGUUGUCAUGCCAAUGGCACUGCCCGGUAGCUAAAUGCGGAAGAGAUAAGUGCUGAAAGCAUCUAAGCACGAAACUUGCCCCGAGAUGAGUUCUCCCUGAGACUUAGAGUCUCCUGAAGGAACGUUGAAGACGACGACGUUGAUAGGCCGGGUGUGUAAGCGCAGCGAUGCGUUGAGCUAACCGGUACUAAUGAACCGUGAGGCUUAACCUUACAACGCCGAAG
rnacentral:rRNA from 1 species